AAACAUAAGCUAAAACAAUAUAGAGCAAAGGAAUAAGGCCAAAGAAUAUCAUCCCCCACAUCAUAGCAUAAGAACCAAAUCCACACCAAGAGCUCAAAUUGACCAACAAUUAAGUUUACCCAUGAUAAAUAAGACAUUCCUAAGCAUGAAUUCGUCCAAAUACAAGCAUAGAAUCAAGAGAAAUCAAGAGAAAACGAGAAAUCCCCAAAUUAAGCCCUAGUUUGGAACUAAGAAAAUAAAUCAUGGAAUAAAACAAAACAAUCGGUCAAAAGCUAGUAAAUCAUGCCAAGAAUUGAAAAACAUAAGU
rnacentral:lncRNA from 1 species